UGGAAAUUGUAACUACGUUUGUUUAAAAGGACAAAUUAACCCUUUGUUUUCGGUGUUUCGUAUAAUAUACGUGAGUAAGACGCGAUGUGACGGUGUGAUCAAGUUUUAUAAUGUCAACUUUGGUGAGUACGUUCCAAUUGUUUUCUUCUCCGCUUUAAAAUAACAAAUAGAAGUUGUUGUCUACGCCAAACUUGACACCUGGCCGAGCGGCGCGGGGGCGACGUCACUCAACUUCAAGCACUCUUUUCAUUCAAUUCAUUCUCGCAAUUCUCGCACUCACGCGCACACUCGUCGCAGCACUAAUGUACUUCUUCUAAUUAAACGCGAAUCUAAGAUAUUUCGACCAGUUUUUUAUUUUCUUGUUCUGUACUGAACAAAGUGGCGACCGUGACAGGACCUGCAAAAGCCAGAAACAACAAUUUCGAAGUUGCAACCUUUUUGCCAAGCGAAGGACAAACAAAGGUCAUCGGCACGUGCAUCCGUCCAGCCUUCUACAUCUUCUUGGAGGACUACAAAGGGCUGUGACUACAUCGGAGCCCGUGCAACUAGACUUCCUCACGCUGGUCUACGUAUCAAGCAACAUCCCGAAGGAUCCUCACGCCUACGUGGAAGUCAGCCAGCAUCGCCUAUUGGAACUGCUUUCUUUUUGUUGCUUCCUGCCUUUCUCAACGCCGGCCCUCAUCGCACCGGAUACCGGGCACUCAGUGAGAAGAUGCAGCACGGACUCCUCGGUACCCGGAUCGCAAAUGCACGAGGGGCUCCCCUUGCAGCGGAACCUGCACAAAUGCACAAUACGAGAAGAACCCCCCGUGCCCUGUAAAAACUUGGCCAUUAUCGGCGCAUCGGACAAGCAACAGUCGACUCGCGUGACGUCACCCUUUGUCUACGUGGAUGCAGCUACCUGUGCUCUUCACUCCAGUGACAAAUCGUGCGUCUGCGGAUAGUCGCGCGAGGCUGCGGCUGACUACGAAGCGAGGAGCGUAUCGUAUGCAAUUUUAACCUACAUUCAACUUUUAAUACAUUCAUUAGUUUUUUAUUUAUUUCAUCCCAAUGUCUACAGAAUUCGAAUCUAGAGAACUUAAGGUUCUCAAUAUUAAAAGUAGCAAUAUAAAAGGACGUUUAACUAAAUUUAAGAACUUUAUCGAUAAUUUAAAAACUUUAGAAUCUAUUUCAGACGUAGAAUUAACCUGCUUGGAAUUACGUCUAAUGUUAAAUACUUGCUAAAAAAAAAAAAGAAAACAUGCCUAAUAAGAGGCGGCUGAGUAGGAGUCGGUCGCGAAAUCUCAGAUCGCAUUCUAGCCAACAUUAUUCCCGCUACAGACGACGUAGCCCUUCUAGCAAUAUUUUAACCGAAACAAUGCAACGAAUUUCGAAUAGAUUGGUGUCAUUAGAGGAACAACAGGUAGUGUCUUCAACUCAACGAAAGGAGUCUAGUGGCCGCGCUGCAGUGGAAGUAGCCAAGUCCGCGGUGCCUGUGGCGACCAUCAGCGCCGAGCCCGUUCCUGCCGUUGAGCCUGCCGUGUCGAUGCCGCCGCCUUCGCAGUUGGGCGAAGCUAUGACUGCGAACUCGCUUCAAGGGCGCGCUUCAGGCUUCAACGACUCCGUCCUCACCGGAGCGUCCCACGAGCGCUACGUCAGUCCAGGCCAGCGCCGCCGAUCGCAUCACCGAUGCGAUACGAUCCAUAAAUAUACCGGAGGCCGAGGACGUCCUCCGGUCAGGAGAGGCCGUGUUAGCUGAGGGUGGAACUUAAGAAAUGGUGGGGUGAUGCCAAUAUAAAAGACCGCACCCUAAUUUUUGGGACACACUCGCCACCGAACACUCAAGCCAGCGGAAGCUCUGCCCGUUUGACUAGCCAAAAUAA